rnacentral:rRNA from 1 species
GAUGAACGCUGGCGGCGUGCUUAACACAUGCAAGUCGAACGGAAAGGCUCCUGCUUGCAGGGGUACUCGAGUGGCGAACGGGUGAGUAACACGUGGGUGAUCUGCCCUGCACUUCGGGAUAAGCCUGGGAAACUGGGUCUAAUACCAGAUAGGACGAUGGUUUGGAUGCCAUUGUGGAAAGUUUUUUCGGUGUGGGAUGAGCUCGCGGCCUAUCAGCUUGUUGGUGGGGUAAUGGCCUACCAAGGCGUCGACGGGUAGCCGGCCUGAGAGGGUGUACGGCCACAUUGGGACUGAGAUACGGCCCAGACUCCUACGGGAGGCAGCAGUGGGGAAUAUUGCACAAUGGGCGCAAGCCUGAUGCAGCGACGCCGCGUGGGGGAUGACGGCCUUCGGGUUGUAAACUCCUUUCGCUAGGGACGAAGCGCAAGUGACGGUACCUGGAGAAGAAGCACCGGCUAACUACGUG